rfam:Schistosoma margrebowiei strain Zambia genome assembly, scaffold: SMRZ_contig0004180
AUCCAGCUGGCGAGUUCCGAACAGGACGAAAUGCGCGUCCUGGAU